rnacentral:rRNA from 1 species
GAUGAACGCUGGCGGCGUGCUUAACACAUGCAAGUCGAACGAAGCACUUUAUUUGAUUUCCUUCGGGCCUGCUUCUUUUGUGACUGAGUGGCGGACGGGUGAGUAACGCGUGGGUAACCUGCCUUGUACAGGGGGAUAACAGUUGGAAACGGCUGCUAAUACCGCAUAAGCGCACAGCAUCACAUGCUGCAGUGUGGAAAACUCCGGUGGUAUAAGAUGGACUCGAGUUGGUUUAGGUAGUUGGUGAGGUUACGGGCCAGCCAGGCGACGAUUCAGACCCGAGCGGAGAAGCUGACCGGCCACAUUGGGACUGAGGCACGGCCCAAACUCCUACGGGAGGCAGCAGUGGGGAAUAUUGCACAAUGGGCGAAAGCCUGAUGCAGCGACGCCGCGUGAGCGAAGAAGUAUGUCGGUAUGUAAAGCUCUAUCAGCAGGGAAGAUAAUGACGGUACCUGACGAAGAAGCACCGGCUAAAUACGUG